AACAGAGCAACCAUCCAAAUCACAGAGUAACCAAGAAAUCGAAUCGCAAAAAAUAUCCAAAACACAAUUUCCAUUAAAAGGCAUUCAAAAUCACAUUCAUCCAAAAAAAAAAAAUCUAAUAAUCCAAAUCAAUAGUACAAGCAAUAUUACAUAUUGAAGAAAAAAAAAUUAAAAAACAAAUGAAAAAAAAUAAUGGAAGUGCUACGGCUGCAGCACUGAUGUUGUUGCGACGCUGGUGAUAUACCGUUGCAGCUCUAUCGGCUGCUGUGUUGGCAAGGAAGCUCAUGCAGAGUCAAGCAAUGGUGGAAAGCAAAAGAAGAAAGAAGAUGAGGUGGGGUUGGGGAGGCAGAGAAAAAUCAAGGAGGAUGGGGUUGGGGACGCGUAGGUGGCGUCAUAGGCAGAGAAAAAACAAGUAGAAGAAGAGGA
rnacentral:misc_RNA from 1 species